rnacentral:rRNA from 1 species
CUACGGGCGGCACCAGUGAGGAAUAUUGCACAAUGGGGGGAACCCUGAUGCAGCAACGCCGCGUGGAGGAUGACGCAUUUCGGUGUGUAAACUCCUUUUAUAUGUCAAGAAAAUGACGGUAGCAUAUGAAUAAGCACCGGCUAACUCCGUGCCAGCAGCCGCGGUAAUAUGGAGGGUGCAAGCGUUACUCGGAAUCACUGGGCGUAAAGGACGCGUAGGCGGGUUGGAAAGUCAGGUGUGAAAUCCUACAGCUUAACUGUAGAACUGCACUUGAAACUUCUAAUCUAGAGUAUGGGAGGGGGAGAUGGAAUUAGUGGUGGAGGGGUAAUAUCCGUAGAUAUCACUAGGAAUACCUAAAGCGAAGGCGAUCUCCUGGAACAUUACUGACGCUAAGGCGUGAAAGCGUGGGGAGCAAACAGGAUUAGAUACCCCAGUAGUC